rnacentral:rRNA from 1 species
CCAGACUCCUACGGGAGGCAGCAGUGAGGAAUAUUGGUCAAUGGACGCAAGUCUGAACCGGCCAUGCCGCGUGCAGGAAGACGGCUCUAUGAGUUGUAAACUGCUUUUGUACGAGGGUAAAUGCAGGUACGUGUAUCUGUUUGAAAGUAUCGUACGAAUAAGGAUCGGCUAACUCCGUGCCAGCAGCCGCGGUAAUACGGAGGAUCCAAGCGUUAUCCGGAUUUAUUGGGUUUAAAGGGUGCGUAGGCGGUUUUAUAAGUUAGAGGUGAAAUCUCGGGGCUCAACUCCGAAAUUGCCUCUAAUACUGUAGGACUAGAGAUCGGAUGCAGCAGGCGGAAUGUGUAGUGUAGCGGUGAAAUGCAUAGAUAUUACACAGAACACCGAUUGCGAAGGCAGCUUGCUAGGCCGGAUCUGACACUGAUGCACGAAAGCGUGGGGAUCGAACAGGAUUAGAUACCCCUGUAA